rnacentral:rRNA from 1 species
CUUGCUUUCUUUGCUGGCGACCGGCGCACGGGUGAGUAACACGUAUCCAACCUGCCCUUUACUCGGGGAUAGCCUUUCGAAAGAAAGAUUAAUACCCGAUAGUAUAAUGAUUCCGCAUGGUUUCAUUAUUAAAGGAUUCCGGUAAAGGAUGGGGAUGCGUUCCAUUAGGUUGUUGGUGAGGUAACGGCUCACCAAGCCUUCGAUGGAUAGGGGUUCUGAGAGGAAGGUCCCCCACAUUGGAACUAAGACACGGUCCAA